rnacentral:RNase_P_RNA from 2 species
AAAUUCGAGUAAUCGCUGCGACGCUAGACGUCGUAGAGGAAAGUCCAUGCUCACACGGUUCUGCGAUGGCCGUAGUGUUCGUGCUUACUGAAAAAAUAAGGUAAGGCAGCUUAAAGCUGACGGCGGAAGGAAGACCUAAGUCUUUUUGAUAUGGUUGACACUUCCUGAAAGUGCCACAGUGACGAAGCUUGUUUGGAAACAUACAAGGUGGAACGAGGUAAACCCCACGAGUGAGAAACCCAAAUUAUGGUAGGGGCACUCUCUUGAAGGAAUUGAACGGAUAGAGGGACAGAGUUCGCUCUGUAGAUAGAUGAUUACUGCCCGGUCGUACGAGGCGCAAGCUGUUUGAGUACUCGGGAACAAAACAUGGCUUAUUGAA